ensembl:lncRNA
AGGUAUGAGUUCCUGGAGGGCAAAGCCUGGGCUCCUUGGUUGUCCUCACAGACUGGAGCUAAGCUGGAAUCACAAUGAGAAGAAGGGAUUAUCCCCUUGCACAAGCCUCAGCAAAGGGUGGUCUUGUUGGAGGAGUUAAUAGCAGAUGAGAAAACUUAGACCUCAAUAGACGUGAUUUGAGAUGGAGGUGGGCCUAGGAGUCUUGGGCUGCUCAUUUCCAGCCCAGAGCACUUGCCACUGCCCCACACAACUGAGCUCAAUCAAUUCCUGGAGGGCCUGGUUCCUAAUGCAGAGGCCAGCCAAGAGCCAGAGCUGGAGCCAGGCCUCUGGUCGUAAACUAAACAACAGAACCAGUUAUUGGUUUCAAGUCUGACUGCCUCCUCUUGUAAGGACUUUGGAACUUGGAGAAGCUCCCUUACCCUUUAUAAGCCAGCAGAAAGAAGUAUGAUUGUCAAGACCCCAGACAGAAUGGCAGGUAAAAGAAACAGCUGCUGCUAUCCAGAGUAAAUCAGUCACAAAGAAACCUGCUCCUCAUUCUGUCUCCUGGUUUCCCAUAAAUGCCUGAAGCCCAGCCUUGUAGUUGAGGAAAGACCAUGUGAGGACACAGAGGGAAGCUGGUCAUCUACAAGCCAGAAAGGGUGGUCUCAGAAGAAACAAACCCUAGCACCUUGAUCUUGGACUUCUAGUCUCCAGAACUGGUCAACUUAAUGGAUGUGUGACCCAUGCCGUCACAUAGAGCCCCAUGCUCAGAAGGACCCUGUGCUUGGUUUAAUGCUCUACUGUCACUUUUUUGAAGUUGUUGGUCAUUUCAUCUCUGAACUUGUGUUUUGAAGGUUUUGUACCAAACCUAUGCAGUGGAAAGUCUGAAUGUGAUAGAAGGUGGCAAUAAUACUGCCCUAGGUCAUCAACCAGCCUCUUGGGACCAUUCUCCUCCCAUGCCUGGAAAAGAGUUCCCUCUUUCCCCACCCUUCUGACUUUCCAAAGCUCUUGGACUCCUAUCGCACACCUUCAUGGGAGGUAGGUCCACCCUGCCUCACUAGGCUCAGCCUUGUAUGCCCAGCUGAGAGGCCCAUAAAGGAAUGGGAUAAUGAACAGAGCACCUCAUGAUGGUUGAAGAUGCAGCCCCGCAAGAGGCCUUUAAAACUUCCCAUCUAUAUGGAGCCUUUUGUUUCCCACAUCCACUGGAAGGGUGGAGUGGGGAAUGGGGUGGGGAGGAUGGCUUUGUGAAAUACAACAUCUUGAGGCAGUGAGCCAUGAACAACUCCAUACCAGUAGAAGAGUAGCCUGGCCUUUCAAGAACCUGGGCUGUCCAUCUACUUGCCACUGGCCAGCACACAUUGAUGGCAUUAUAAAUCAGGCUAGCCCCACUACCUCCAGAGCCCACUGCCCAACCCCACUUUAAACUUUCACAAGUUCUACUCGUCACUUCUCAAUGAAUCAGGCAGAAUUUUUCCAGUUGGUCUUGGUAUUGGUUUCCCUGAAUGACCCUUAAAAAGUUCAGAUUUGAGUCCAUGGAUCUGUCUGAGCAUGAGUCGGGCCUCACACAUCAUUGAAUACUCAUCUACUCAGAAGGUUGGG